AAUUAGAUAGCCGGUACAUAUAUAGGGCAAUAUUAAUUCUAAUUUCAUUAGGAAUAUGAUUAUUCCAAUUCUAUAUUAUAAUCUGGAUACCUUUGAUAAAAAAAAAAAAAAGAUAUUAUUUAUUUAUAUAAUAAAUCUGAUGGCUAAAAACAUUUAGGGAAAUUACCAAACUUUUCCAACCUUUAUUUUUCGUUUGAAAAAAAAAAAACCUUUAUUUUCAUAAAUAUAUCUUUAUUUUAAUUUUUCUUGUUGAAUUAGUAUUCUCCUUCCUCUGGAACUUGGGUGCCUUCUGCGACUUGGGCUAGAGCAAAAGAAUGUUAACCUUUUGGCCUCACUCGAUCGACCUCAACAUCAUGGCCGUCGUGGCCUGUGAACUCCCGUUUGGUUUGAAGAGGCAACAUAGCGUUGAGUACUGGAUCUGAAAUGGCUGACGCAUUUUUUGUGCCCUUCUUUUCAUCUUUGAGUUUUAAUACUCAUGGCUCCAAACUGAUUGGGUUGAUCGUCAAUUGCAGUAGUGUAGCAACAGGAACUAGAGCUGGGCUUUUUGGAACACAUAUUUCAGCUCAUGGUUUACCGCCUCCCCUAGCCUUAAUUAGUCGUUCGUAAUCUUAUGGAGCGGGUAGAAAGGAUAUUGUUUCUUUAUUUCUUCCCCUUUCUCUGGAACUUGGGUGCCUUCUGCGACUUGGGCUGUGGCUUCCACAACAUAAUCAAAAGAAUGUUAACCUUUUGGCCUCACUCGAUCGACUUGGGCUGUGCUUAAUGAUAGUUUUGACUAUUCAAUUUGGUGUGAUGUUUCUAUUACAGUUGAAGAAUUGUGGUGCAGGAAGUGGUUCCUGAGUUCAAAAAAUAUUCAGAGAGAAAGGCUCAACAGACAUACUAAAUUUAUUGAUUUUUCUUUUACUGUUGAAACAUU